CAGCAGGCGCGCAAAUUACCCAAUCACGACACGUGGAGGUAGUGACAAGAAAUAACAAAGCAAGCCAGUAUUCUGGUUUUGCUAUUGGAAUGAGUAGAAUUUAAAUCUCUUUACGACUAUCAAUUGGAGGGCAAGUCUGGUGCCAGCAGCCGCGGUAAUUCCAGCUCCAAUAGCGUAUAUUAAAGUUGUUGCGGUUAAAAAGCUCGUAGUUGGAUUUCUGUUGAGGACGGCCGGUCCGCACUAUGUGCGUGUAUCUGGUUCGGCCUUGGCAUCCUCUUGAGGAACGUUCCUGCGCUUGAUUGCGUGGGGCGGUAUUCAAGACUUUUACUUUGAGGAAAUUAGAGUGUUCACGGCAGGCAAGCGCCUUGAAUAUGUUAGCAUGGAAUAAUAAUAUAGGAUCUUGGUUCUAUUUGUUGGUUUCUAGGGCUAAGGUAAUGAUUAAUAGGGAUAAUUGGGGGCAUUUGUAUUAACGCGUCAGAGGUGGAAUUCUUGGAUUGCGUUACGACAAACUACUGCGAAAGCAUUUGCCAAGGAUGUUUUCAUUGAUCAAGAACGAAAGU
rnacentral:rRNA from 1 species